GAUGAACGCUGGCGGCGUGCCUAAUACAUGCAAGUCGAGCGAACAGACGAGGAUCUUGCUCCUCUGACGUUAGCGGCGGACGGGUGAGUAACACGUGGAUAACCUACCUAUAAGACUGGGAUCACUUCGGGAAACCGGAGCUAAUACCGGAUAACAUGUUGAACCGCAUGGUUCAACAGUGAAAGACGGUCUUGCUGUCACUUAUAGAUGGAUCCGCGCGGCAUUAGCUAGUUGGUAAGGUAACGGCUUACCAAGGCAACGAUGCGUAGCCGACCUGAGAGGGUGAUAGGCCACACUGGAGCUGAGACACGGUCCAGACUCCUACGGGAGGCAGCAGUAGGGAAUCGUCCGCAAUGGGCGAAAGCCUGACGGAGCAACGCCGCGUGAGUGAAGAAGGUCUUCGGAUCGUAAAACUCUGUUAUUAGGGAAGAACAAAUGUGUAAGUAACUAUGCACGUCUUGACGGUACCUAAUCAGAAAGCAACGGCUAACUACGUG
rnacentral:rRNA from 1 species